rnacentral:rRNA from 1 species
UAGGGAAUCUUCGGCAAUGGGGGGAACCCUGACCGAGCAACGCCGCGUGAGUGAAGAAGGUUUUCGGAUCGUAAAGCUCUGUUGUUAAGGAAGAACGAGUGUGAGAAUGGAAAGUUCAUACCGUGACGGUACUUAACCAGAAAGGGACGGCUAACUACGUGCCAGCAGCCGCGGUAAUACGUAGGUCCCGAGCGUUGUCCGGAUUUAUUGGGCGUAAAGCGAGCGCAGGCGGUUAGAUAAGUCUGAAGUUAAAGGCAGUGGCUCAACCAUUGUAGGCUUUGGAAACUGUUUAACUUGAGUGCAGAAGGGGAGAGUGGAAUUCCAUGUGUAGCGGUGAAAUGCGUAGAUAUAUGGAGGAACACCGGUGGCGAAAGCGGCUCUCUGGUCUGUAACUGACGCUGAGGCUCGAAAGCGUGGGGAGCGAACAGG